rnacentral:misc_RNA from 1 species
GAUGAAGAACGUAGCAAAAUGCGAUAAGUAAUGUGAAUUGCAGAAUUCAGUGAAUCAUCGAAUCUUUGAACGCACAUUGCGCCCGCCAGUAUUCUGGCGGGCAUGCCUGUUCGAGCGUCAUUUCAACCCUCAAGCACAGCUUGGUGUUGGGACUCGCGUUAAUUCGCGUUCCCCAAAUUGAUUGGCGGUCACGUCGAGCUUCCAUAGCGUAGUAGUAAAACCCUCGUUACUGGUAAUCGUCGCGGCCACCCCGUUAAACCCCAACUUCUGAAUGUUGACCUCGGAUCAGGUAGGAAUACCCGCUGAACUUAAGCAUAUCAAUAAGCGGAGGA